GGAAGCUCCUAUUGGCGCAGUUAGCUGUCUUGAAAACAGUGAACAGGCAGAGAUGUCUGGUACGGGUUCGAUUCCCGUAGCUUCCGC
rnacentral:tRNA from 1 species